GAUGAAGAACGUAGCAAAAUGCGAUACUUGGUGUGAAUUGCAGAAUCCCGUGAACCAUCGAGUCUUUGAACGCAAGUUGCGCCCGAAGCCACUAGGCCGAGGGCACGCCUGCCUGGGCGUCACACGCCGUUGCCCCCCCAUCUACUCCUUCGGGAUUGCGGGGGGGCGGAUGAUGGCCUCCUGUGCGCCUAGCCGCGCGGUUGGCAUAAAUACCAAGUCCUCGGCGACGCACGCCACGACAAUCGGUGGUUGCGAAACCUCGGUUGCCCGUCGUGUGCGUUCGUCGCGCAUCGAGGGCUCGAAAAAAUGCUCGGCUCCGGCUGGGCUUUCAACGCGACCCCAGGUCAGGCGGGGUUACCCGCUGAAUUUAAGCAUAUCAAUAAGCGGAGGA
rnacentral:misc_RNA from 1 species